GUUGUGGCUCAGUGGCAGAGCACUUGCCUAGCAUGUGUGAGGCACUGGGUUCAAUCCUCAGCACA
rnacentral:tRNA from 1 species